rnacentral:rRNA from 1 species
GUGAGGAAUAUUGCGCAAUGGAGGCAACUCUGACGCAGCCAUGCCGCGUGCAGGAAGAAGGCGCUACGCGUUGUAAACUGCUUUUAACCGGGAAGAAACCCCAGGACGUGUCCUGGGUUGACGGUACCGGAGGAAUAAGCACCGGCUAACUUCGUGCCAGCAGCCGCGGUAAUACGAAGGGUGCAAGCGUUAUCCGGAUUCAUUGGGUUUAAAGGGUGCGUAGGCGGAGCGUUAAGUCAGUGGUGAAAUCCUGCAGCUUAACUGUAGACUUGCCAUUGAUACUGUCGCUCUUGAGUGCGCUUGAAGUGGGCGGAAUGUGCCGUGUAGCGGUGAAAUGCUUAGAUAUGGCACAGAACACCAAUUGCGAAGGCAGCUCACUAAGGCGAUACUGACGCUGAGGCACGAAAGCGUGGGGAUCGAACAGGAUUAGAAACCCCAGUAGUCC